rfam:Ictidomys tridecemlineatus contig057456, whole genome shotgun sequence.
GGGGUUGUGGCUCAGUGGUAAAGUGUUUGCCUAGCACACAUGAGGCACUGGGUUCAAUCCCCAGCACCUCG